ensembl:lncRNA
UUUAUUGUUAAUGACAUUGAUCCAGCUCAUUGAUGUUUAUUUUAGGCUUCACUCCUGUGGUAGCAGACUGGUACCAGAAUUUCGAGAAGGUCGCUGGCCUGAUGCCAGCUUGGGCAAGCAGGGGAGAGACGCUCCGACGCCACCCUGCUGAGAGCCGGGUCUUUGAUGUGGUCAACACCAGCACAUCAACCUCAUUUUAACACAUCUGUUACCCACAACAGCCAUGGAAAAGGCUUUCUGAACUCAUCAGGAUGUCAAGUCUUAAAGGAAGGGCUGAAGAAACAUCUGGAGGUUGUUUGGAGCUCCUUCCAGGGCUGUAAGAGGGUUAGGAGCCUCGGAUGUCUGCUGUUGAUAGGGAGAACACCACCUGUCUGGAGCUGUUGACAACAGAGGAACCAAGUAUGUAUUCUGACAUAAUACUCAACUUCCUCUCUCCCAAACGCCGCAAUUACAGGCAAGCAAAGAGAAAGACAGCACAUGUGUAUUCAUGCACAUAAACAUUGCAUCUUUACAUGCAAAAAGUUGAUGGUAGCCAUUGACUUCCAUAGUAUGGAACAAAAUACUUUGGCAGUCAGCGGCUAUACCGUCAAUUUUUUGCUUGCCAGCAUUCUUCAAAGUAUCGUCUUUUGUGUUCAACAGAAGAAACUAAUUCAAACUCAGGUUUGGAAUAAUUUGAUGGUGAGUAAAUGAUAACAGUAUUUUCAUUUUUAAGUCAACUAAAAAAAACUCAAAAACAGCACCCUGUUGGUG